rnacentral:rRNA from 1 species
UACGUAGGGUGCAAGCGUUAAUCGGAAUUACUGGGCGUAAAGCGUGCGCAGGCGGUGAUGUAAGACAGAUGUGAAAUCCCCGGGCUCAACCUGGGACCUGCAUUUGUGACUGAAUCGCUAGAGUACGGUAGAGGGGGAUGGAAUUCCGCGUGUAGCAGUGAAAUGCGUAGAUAUGCGGAGGAACACCGAUGGCGAAGGCAAUCCCCUGGACCUGUACUGACGCUCAUGCACGAAAGCGUGGGGAGCAAACAGG